rnacentral:lncRNA from 1 species
UCUCUCUAAGUCACACUUAGAGAGAGAAGCUCUCCCCUCUCUCUAAAGCAGCUCGCCGGAGAAGAAGGAGGAAGAAGCUCCGGCGCGGCGGCCGGCCGGUUUCCGGCGGCGGCGCCACCGCGCCGGAAAAUUCAAACUAUUUUUUUUUCAAAAUUUUUAUACCAAAAGCUUCGUCUCCUCCUCCUCUAGACAAAUCCGGCACUAGUUUUAGAAAGGGCUGAGAGAUUUGGGCUAGAUCUACACUUGAACUUCGAAAAAAAUUUCACACUUUUUUUGAAAAAAAUAACUACGGAUCUAGAUAUCAUUUUCUCUCUAGAGUCCGAAUCCGGCCUCAAAAUUUCCAAAAUCCGAACACAAGAGCCUAGAUCUACAAAUACAUAUCCGUAACAAACUUUUUCACACUUUUUCUACACUAUAUGCGCGCGCGCGAAAAUGAAGAAAAAGAGGAGAGAAAUGCGUUACCUCUGUCGUAGAACGGAGAAAAAUCUUCGGAAAACUUCGAAUCUCCUUUUUUCCCCCUCCGUGCGCGCGCGUUUCCACUCCGUUUGUGGUUGUUUUUGCUCAAAAAUCCGGUACGUUUUGGUGUUGAUGUGAUGAUUCGCGGUGGUUUUGAGUGAAUCCGGUUCGGAUUUGUUGAUUUUGUGGUGAUUGGAGUUGAUUCUGAGCAGAUCCGGUUUAGAUCUGUUGAUUUUGGUGAUGAUGUGUUCUUGGUGUUCUUCCUCUUUUUUUCUGAGAUUUUUUCUGUUUUGAUUCUGUUAUGGAUGAGAGAGAGAAAAAGAUUCUGUUUGAGACUGAUUGUGAUUGAUUCUGAUUUUUUUCUGACUGAUUGUGAUGGAUCUGACACAUUUACUAUUUAUAGCCUGCCAUGUGUAUCUGAGAACCAAUGAAAAAAUGACAUCUGGUUUGGGACUGAUGUGGAUCGAAAAUCUGGACUAAAAUGCCCCUGGGACCUUUCUGCAAAAUAAAAAACUUGAAGGACUGGACAGCAAUAAAAAAUGGACUAAAAUGAAAUUUUUAAAAGUUUUGGACCAAAACGUGAUUAAAAAUAAAAUUGGACUAAAAAGUAAAUUUGACGAAACGUAAAGCGAAACCAAAAAUAAAAUUAACAAAAGGACUAAAACGAACCAAUUAC